CCUGCCUCAGCCUCCACUAAGUUUUAUCCCUAGCCCCAAGAACCAACAUUUGAAAUACCCAUCAUGUGACAGAUUUGGAGCUAAGAGAAUUUUACCUAUUAUUUAAUUUCCAUAGCAAUCAUGAGUGGUAGGUAUCUCCAUCUCUAUUCUAUAGCUCAGGAACUGAGGCUCUACUAAAUUUAAGCAUUGUGCCCAGGGUGCCCUGGAUUCAAG
rnacentral:lncRNA from 1 species